GGUCAAGUGAAGAAGCGCAUACGGUGGAUGCCUUGGCAGUCAGAGGCGAUGAAAGACGUGGUAGCCUGCGAAAAGCUUCGGGGAGUCGGCAAACAGACUUUGAUCCGGAGAUGUCUGAAUGGGGGAACCCAGCCAUCAUAAGAUGGUUACCUUGCACUGAAUACAUAGGUGUAUGGAGCGAACCAGGGGAACUGAAACAUCUAAGUACCCUGAGGAAAAGAAAUCAACCGAGAUUCCCUUAGUAGUGGCGAGCGAACGGGGACUAGCCCUUAAGUGGCUUUGAGAUUAGCGGAACGCUCUGGAAAGUGCGGCCAUAGUGGGUGAUAGCCCUGUACGCGAAAAUCUCUUAGUCAUGAAAUCGAGUAGGACGGAGCACGAGAAACUUUGUCUGAAUAUGGGGGGACCAUCCUCCAAGGCUAAAUACUACUGACUGACCGAUAGUGAACUAGUACCGUGAGGGAAAGGCGAAAAGAACCCCGGAGAGGGGAGUGAAAUAGAUCCUGAAACCGUAUGCGUACAAGCAGUGGGAGCCUACUUUGUUAGGUGACUGCGUACCUUUUGUAUAAUGGGUCAGCGACUUAUUUUCAGUGGCGAGCUUAACCGAAUAGGGGAGGCGUAGCGAAAGCGAGUCUUAAUAGGGCGUCUAGUCGCUGGGAAUAGACCCGAAACCGGGCGAUCUAUCCAUGGGCAGGUUGAAGGUUGGGUAACACUAACUGGAGGACCGAACCGACUACCGUUGAAAAGUUAGCGGAUGACCUGUGGAUCGGAGUGAAAGGCUAAUCAAGCUCGGAGAUAGCUGGUUCUCCUCGAAAGCUAUUUAGGUAGCGCCUCAUGUAUCACUGUAGGGGGUAGAGCACUGUUUCGGCUAGGGGGUCAUCCCGACUUACCAAACCGAUGCAAACUCCGAAUACCUACAAGUGCCGAGCAUGGGAGACACACGGCGGGUGCUAACGUCCGUCGUGAAAAGGGAAACAACCCAGACCGUCAGCUAAGGUCCCAAAGUUAUGGUUAAGUGGGAAACGAUGUGGGAAGGCUUAGACAGCUAGGAGGUUGGCUUAGAAGCAGCCACCCUUUAAAGAAAGCGUAAUAGCUCACUAGUCGAGUCGGCCUGCGCGGAAGAUGUAACGGGGCUCAAACCAUACACCGAAGCUACGGGUAUCACGUAAGUGAUGCGGUAGAGGAGCGUUCUGUAAGCCUGUGAAGGUGAGUUGAGAAGCUUGCUGGAGGUAUCAGAAGUGCGAAUGCUGACAUGAGUAACGACAAUGGGUGUGAAAAACACCCACGCCGAAAGACCAAGGUUUCCUGCGCAACGUUAAUCGACGCAGGGUUAGUCGGUCCCUAAGGCGAGGCUGAAAAGCGUAGUCGAUGGAAAACAGGUUAAUAUUCCUGUACUUCUGGUUAUUGCGAUGGAGGGACGGAGAAGGCUAGGCCAGCUUGGCGUUGGUUGUCCAAGUUUAAGGUGGUAGGCUGAGAUCUUAGGUAAAUCCGGGAUCUUAAGGCCGAGAGCUGAUGACGAGUUGUCUUUUAGACGACGAAGUGGUUGAUGCCAUGCUUCCAAGAAAAGCUUCUAAGCUUCAGGUAACCAGGAACCGUACCCCAAACCGACACAGGUGGUUGGGUAGAGAAUACCAAGGCGCUUGAGAGAACUCGGGUGAAGGAACUAGGCAAAAUGGCACCGUAACUUCGGGAGAAGGUGCGCCGGUGAGGGUGAAGGACUUGCUCCGUAAGCUCAUGCCGGUCGAAGAUACCAGGCCGCUGCGACUGUUUAUUAAAAACACAGCACUCUGCAAACACGAAAGUGGACGUAUAGGGUGUGACGCCUGCCCGGUGCCGGAAGGUUAAUUGAUGGGGUUAGCUAACGCGAAGCUCUUGAUCGAAGCCCCGGUAAACGGCGGCCGUAACUAUAACGGUCCUAAGGUAGCGAAAUUCCUUGUCGGGUAAGUUCCGACCUGCACGAAUGGCGUAACGAUGGCGGCGCUGUCUCCACCCGAGACUCAGUGAAAUUGAAAUCGCUGUGAAGAUGCAGUGUAUCCGCGGCUAGACGGAAAGACCCCGUGAACCUUUACUAUAGCUUUGCACUGGACUUUGAAUUUGCUUGUGUAGGAUAGGUGGGAGGCUUUGAAGCGUGGACGCCAGUUCGCGUGGAGCCAACCUUGAAAUACCACCCUGGCAACUUUGAGGUUCUAACUCAGGUCCGUUAUCCGGAUCGAGGACAGUGUAUGGUGGGUAGUUUGACUGGGGCGGUCUCCUCCUAAAGAGUAACGGAGGAGUACGAAGGUGCGCUCAGACCGGUCGGAAAUCGGUCGUAGAGUAUAAAGGCAAAAGCGCGCUUGACUGCGAGACAGACACGUCGAGCAGGUACGAAAGUAGGUCUUAGUGAUCCGGUGGUUCUGUAUGGAAGGGCCAUCGCUCAACGGAUAAAAGGUACUCCGGGGAUAACAGGCUGAUACCGCCCAAGAGUUCAUAUCGACGGCGGUGUUUGGCACCUCGAUGUCGGCUCAUCACAUCCUGGGGCUGAAGCCGGUCCCAAGGGUAUGGCUGUUCGCCAUUUAAAGUGGUACGCGAGCUGGGUUUAGAACGUCGUGAGACAGUUCGGUCCCUAUCUGCCGUGGACGUUUGAGAUUUGAGAGGGGCUGCUCCUAGUACGAGAGGACCGGAGUGGACGAACCUCUGGUGUUCCGGUUGUCACGCCAGUGGCAUUGCCGGGUAGCUAUGUUCGGAAUAGAUAACCGCUGAAAGCAUCUAAGCGGGAAACUAGCCUCAAGAUGAGAUCUCACUGGGACCUUGAGUCCCCUGAAGGGCCGUCGAAGACUACGACGUUGAUAGGUUGGGUGUGUAAGCGCUGUGAGGCGUUGAGCUAACCAAUACUAAUUGCCCGUGAGGCUUGACCAUAU
rnacentral:rRNA from 1 species